UACGUAGGGUGCAAGCGUUUGUCCGGAAUUAUUGGGCGUAAAGAGCUCGUAGGCGGUUUGUCGCGUCGGGAGUGAAAACGCCGGGCUUAACUCGGUGCUUGCUUUCGAUACGGGCAGACUUGAGGCAUGCAGGGGAGAACGGAAUUCCUGGUGUAGCGGUGAAAUGCGCAGAUAUCAGGAGGAACACCGGUGGCGAAGGCGGUUCUCUGGGCAUGUUCUGACGCUGAGGAGCGAAAGUGUGGGGAGCGAACAGG
rnacentral:rRNA from 1 species